rnacentral:ribozyme from 1 species
AAAAAAAAAAAAAGCAGAAAAAAAAAAACGCUCUCUCUUUCCUUUGUUUCCCUUCCUUCCUCCCCUCCUCUCCUUCACACUCUUCCUCUUCCUUUUUCCC